rnacentral:rRNA from 1 species
UGGGGAAUCUUGCACAAUGGGGGCAACCCUGAUGCAGCGACGCCGCGUGAGCGAUGAAGGUUUUCGAAUCGUAAAGCUCUGUCCUAUGGGAAGAUAAUGACGGUACCAUAGGAGGAAGCCCCGGCUAACUACGUGCCAGCAGCCGCGGUAAUACGUAGGGGGCGAGCGUUGUCCGGAAUUACUGGGCGUAAAGGGCUUGUAGGCGGUUGGCCGCGUCUGCCGUGAAAUCCUCUGGCUUAACUGGGGGCGUGCGGUGGGUACGGGUUGACUUGAGUGCGGUAGGGGAGACUGGAAUUCCUGGUGUAGCGGUGGAAUGCGCAGAUAUCAGGAGGAACACCGGUGGCGAAGGCGGGUCUCUGGGCCGUUACUGACGCUGAGGAGCGAAAGCGUGGGGAGCGAACAGG